rnacentral:rRNA from 14 species
CGGUGGAUGCCUUGGCACUAGGAGCCGAAGAAGGACGUGACAAACGACGAUAUGCCUUGGGUAGCUGUAAGUAAGCGAUGAUCCAGGGAUUUCCGAAUGGGGGAACCCAACAGGUACUACCUGUUACCCGCAUCUGUUAAGGAUGUGAGGAGGAAGACGCAGUGAACUGAAACAUCUAAGUAGCUGUAGGAAGAGAAAGCAAAAGCGAUUGCCUUAGUAGCGGCGAGCGAAACGGCAGAAGGGCAAACCGAAGAGUUUACUCUUCGGGGUUGUAGGACUGCAAUGUGGACUCAAAGAUUAUAGAAGAAUGAUUUGGGAAGAUCAGCCAAAG